CGCUAAAGUGCUACAAAAUUCACAAACACAAAAUAUUUACACAAAGAGCAGAGAUAUGGUACGUAAAUUCAAAAAAUAAAUCAAAAAAAACGCAAUUGCAUGAGAAUUGCAAUACAAAUACGCGUUGAGCUGCAUAUCAUCUAGUUCGACGCAAGGCCAAAAAUGCGCAACUGGUAAAAAGCUCUGCCAGUGUGAUAACAAACGUUUACCAACACGAAAUCGACGAAUUCAUCUGCUGGAGUAAUUAACAGGUACUUUUUAAUUAAUUACGCGUUCCAAGUUGUAUUUCUUGAUGUUGAGCUAAACAGGGACUUUCUUCUCUUUCCGCAGCAACUUUCCCGGAUUCAAUCGACAUCGAAAUAAGCUCACUGGAGCCGAACGGAGAUGACUGUUUUCACCAAGAGCAGCUUCACCUUUGUGAUGCUGCAUCAACUCCUUCUUCUUACGAUGCAUCAGAGAAGUUGCACUUCAACGCCAAUCAGAAUUCCAUUAGAGAUGAUCCAAAUUCCAACCUGCAGAAUCCAUAUUGAGCAGACAUACCGGAAAAAUACUUCAAUGACCGCAAAAGCAUCGGAUUGACAGGUACAUUAAAUCUUUCUCUAAUGUGUUGGUGAUAUUUUUCAACCUCUCUGUUAUCAGCAAGCUGACAUUUUUCCAAAUUGGAAGUUUUCUCGGAGCUGGAACCGGGACCCUUUUUUAUCAUCUCUGCUGCAGUAAGUACCCCGUUUACACAUCUCUAUUUACGUGUACAAAGUGAUCUUCUUAGAUUUAGUUCGUGUUGCGUUCGUUUUUCUCUCGUGUUGCAUCUUAUCAGUGUCAUGUUAUGGUCACAGACAGCUGGCCACUCGUCGCUAUGUUCACACACAGCUGGGAAGAUUUCGCUAUUCCCACGGACAACUAGGAAUAUCGAGCUAAUUUCACCGACAGCUGGCCAGAUGAUAUUUUUUCCGAGUUCUGGUUUUGCGUUUUCUCUGAUUUCUUCGCAAUUCAGCAACUUCUCGCAUUAUUUUCGGCUCUCCCUCGAACUUGAAUUUUGAACUUCUCUGAUUUUUGCUUUUUAUCACAAAAAUUCCUCAUUCAAAAUUCCUUCAAGCACACUCAAACGAAUUUUAAACUUCUCUAAUAAAUAAAAAAAAUAAUUUACAAAGAAAAAUUCUAAAACUAGGUCAACUAAUAGUUACGAUUAGUCGAAAAAUAAAUUAAAAUAAAAUUAGUCACAGAUUACACAAAACUAAAUUUUAUCCAGAGUGCAACUUGAAAAAAAAAAAAAUUCUAAUAACAAAUUGAAUAACAACGCCUAAAUUAGCACUAAUUACCACUAUUGCGAAAAAUACACAUUACUACUUA